rnacentral:lncRNA from 10 species
CCUGCCUCGGCCUCCCAAAAUGCUGGGAUUAUGGACGUGAGACACUGUGCCCGGCCCUUUUUUUCUUUUUUUAGUUUAUUGUCUAUCUCCCCUUCAUGAAGACAAUGAUUUUGCCUGUCUUAUCCAUCACCUGGCACAUAGCAGGUGUCACAAAAUAUUUAUUAAAUGAGUGAAGAGAAGAAGGGAGGGAGAGAAGGAAGAACAACUGAGUGGAUAAUUGGGAGUUAACAAGGCAAAGCUGGGGGCAGUUGGAAGCUGUGAAGACCGAUGCGACUAGAGAUGAGAGACCAGGGGGUGCGGCAGGCAAGAUGAUGUCCAUUUUACAGAUGAGGCAUCUGAGGCUCAGAGAUGGCAAGGGGCAUGACCAAGUCAUCCAGUGGGACAGGUCCUGGAUGAAUCCAGUUUCCGACUCAAGAGUCAAUAGAACCUCAGUUACUGAGCACUCAUCUGUACUAACUGAUGAGGCCAGUGAUGUCUCAAAGAGUAG